CCUANGGGUGGCUGCAGUCGAGAAUCUUCCGCAAUGGGCGAAAGCCUGACGGAGCGACGCCGCGUGACUGAUGAAGUCCUUAGGGACGUAAAGGUCUUUUAUGAGGGAGAAAGUUUAUUGAUAGUACCUCAAGAAUAAGGGGUUGCUAAACUCGUGCCAGCAGCAGCGGUAAUACGAGUGCCCCGAGCGUUAUCCGGAAUCAUUGGGCGUAAAGGGUGUGUAGGUGGUUUUGUUAGUCUUUUGUCAAAUUCUUCGGCUUAACCGGGGUUCCGCAAAAGAAACGGCAAGACUUGAGGAUGUGAGAGGUGUACGGAACUCAUGGUGUAGGGGUGAAAUCCGUUGAUAUCAUGGGGAACACCAAAAGCGAAGGCAGUACACUAGCGCACUCCUGACACUGAAACACGAAAGCGUGGGUAGCGAAUGGGAUUAGAUACCCGGNUAGUC
rnacentral:rRNA from 1 species